rnacentral:ncRNA from 1 species
UUAGGUUUAAUAAUAGCUUAUUUAGUUAAUUUAAAGAUUAUUUUAUAUACAUAUACUAUUUAUUUUAAAUAAUUAUUUUGUAGUAUUUAAUAUUAAUUAUAUAAAUUUGAGUUUAUAUUAGUGUUUUUUAAUAAUAAUAGUUAAUUUUGUGCCAGCAACUGCGGUUAUACAAAAAUUGUUAAUUAACUUUAUUGGUAAAUAAUAGAUGUUAUUAAAAAUUUAUAGUUGAAUUUAGAGGGUGAAAUUUCACAUUUAAUAUAAUUUUUACUUUGGUUAUUAUUAAGGUUUGAUUUAAAACUAGGAUUAGAUACCCUAUUAUAAAAAGUUAAAAUUUGUUCUAGAUUAGUAAUUUUUAAUUUAAUUAAAGUUAAAUUAUAUGGCGGUAUUUUAUUCUAUUCAGAGGAACCUGUUUCGUAAUUGAUAAUCCACGAUUUUAUAUACUUUAAUUAUUAAUUUGUAUAUCGUUGUUUUUAAAUAUUUUUUAAAAAUUUAAAUAUUUAAUAAAUUUUAUUUAGAGAUUUUAUAUCAAAUCAAGAUGCAGUUUAUAUUAAAGUGUUAAAUGGGUUACAUUAAAUUUAUUUAUGGUUUUUAUUAUUUAUAUAUAAAAUAAAUUGGAUUUGUUAGUAAUAUAUUUUAAUUAUUAUAUAUGAUUAUUGUUCUAAAAUAUGUACAUAUUGCCCGUCGCUCUAGUGUAAAACUAGAUAAGUCGUAACAUAGUAGAGGUACUGGAAAGUGUAUCUAGGAAGACA